UACGAAGGGGGCUAGCGUUGUUCGGAAUUACUGGGCGUAAAGGGCGCGUAGGCGGUGUGUCAAGUCAGGCGUGAAAGCCCCGGGCUCAACCUGGGAACAGCGCUUGAGACUGGCACGCUCGAGUUCGGGAGAGGAUGGUGGAAAUUCCCAGUGUAGAGGUGAAAUUCGUAGAUAUUGGGAAGAACACCGAUGGCGAAGGCCGAGCCCAU
rnacentral:rRNA from 1 species